rnacentral:rRNA from 1 species
GAUGAACGCUGGCGGCGUGCCUAAUACAUGCAAGUCGAGCGAACGGACGAGAAGCUUGCUUCUCUGAUGUUAGCGGCGGACGGGUGAGUAACACGUGGAUAACCUACCUAUAAGACUGGGAUAACUUCGGGAAACCGGAGCUAAUACCGGAUAAUAUUUUGAACCGCAUGGUUCAAAAGUGAAAGACGGUCUUGCUGUCACUUAUAGAUGGAUCCGCGCUGCAUUAGCUAGUUGGUAAGGUAACGGCUUACCAAGGCAACGAUGCAUAGCCGACCCGAGAGGGUGAUCGGCCACACGGGAAGUGAGGCACGGCCCAGACUCCUAGGGGAGGCAGCGGUAGGGAAUCUUCCGCGAGGGGGGAGAGGGUGACGGUGCAACGCGGCGGGAGUGAUGAAGGUGUUCGGAUGGGAAAACGCUGUUGGUAGGGGGGAACAAAUGUGUAAGUAACUGGGCAGAUAUUGACGGUACCUGGUGAGAAAGCCACGGCUAACUACGUG